GUAAAUACUCCAUGAAAAUACUACUUUCAAGCUGCCAACAUGACGUCACUGAAUGGAGAGUUGGGAAGAGAUGCUAACUUGAACUUCCUAGAACUGGUACCUGCCAAUUCUAGCACACCCCUUUGCACCAACUAGCAAAGCAAGAACUCCAGUUGAUGGCAACUUGGGGCAAAGUUGACAAUGGCUGGCAAGGAGGCUGGAAAGUGGCUAAGAGGUGGAUCUGGAAGGGCUCUCCCAGGCUGCGGUUUGGACUUGACAGUGAAGCAUAGGAGGAGCCGCUGGAGAACUCUCUGCAGGAAGCUGCUUUGAAUAAAUGUGCAUUUCAGGAAUCCACUCUUCAGGAUUUCUUAAAAGCAUUUGUGACUUUUGAGGGAGGACUUUGAAA
rnacentral:lncRNA from 1 species